rnacentral:rRNA from 1 species
UGCGGAAGGAUCAUUAAAGUUUGCUUAAUUGCAUCACACAUGUUUUUUUAGAGAACUUGCUUGCAAGAACACUAAUAAUUUACUUAGUCAACCGAUAAAAAUAUCAAAACUUUCAACAACGGAUCUCUUGGUUCUCGCAUCGAUGAAGAACGCAGCGAAAUGCGAUACGUAAUAUGAAUUGCAGAUUUUCGUGAAUCAUCGAAUCUUUGAACGCACAUUGCGCCCUGUGGUAUUCCACAGGGCAUGCCUGUUUGAGCGUCAUUUCUCCCUCAAACCUCUGGUUUGGCGUUGAGUGAUACUCGGUUUACUUGAAAUACAUGAAAAGCAUAACUAUUAGGUUUUACCAACUCGUUAUACUAAUCUACAAGUUUGACCUCAAAUCAGGUAGGGACUACCCGCCUGAACUUAAGCAUA